GGAGUGGAAGGUAUGGGGAGAAGGGGGAGGGGAGGGAAGGGAAGGGUGACUCUAGUGACGCGCUCGGUGGGGGUCGGUACCGAGGUGGCGGCGGCCGCUGCUACGUGAUCCCUGCGAAGAGCUAAGUCAGCGCCGGCUAGNNCCAAACCUAAUCAGGCCUCCCCCUUCUUUGUAGCAUCUAACUUGAGACAACUUCUCUCAGACCACCUCUACCGAAGCCUUUACCACUUCCGCCGCUGCUCGCUCUUCGAGUUCCUCUACCUGACCCGGUUCUUGUAGCUUUAGACGCUCGAGCAGCGAGUCCUAGGCCCCUUUCGCUUCCUACACUAGUUUAGAUAUUUCUUCACAUAUCCUUCGUCCUCGUUCUUACGAGUUGAAAUACGACAGUACGACAACCUCUACGAGUACUUAUUGACACCUCUCGGAUAGGUGUUCGUCCAGUAACUAUUACCCGAAGAAGGCUAUGAACAGUUUUAUCACUUCUUUUUCUGCCUUAACGGUCAAGCCCUUUUCUAUAAAGAAAACAAUCUACGCUGGGUUUGUAGGGAACCACCUCGAUUUCCUUUCAAGGGGGUCAUGAUACUCCGUAUAAUACUUAAUCACAGACGACCACACUUCAAAUACUUAGCAGGUUUACAACAGUAAUGUGUUCAUGUGUUAGGACACGGUCUUCGUUAUUAUCUUGGCUUAUUCCUGUUAGAUAGAUCGUCUAGCUUACCACAAGUUGUCCUUCGAUUGCACGUCGGACAAAGACUGUGCUCAUAUUAAGCCUUUCGUAGAUCACAGUACCUUCAAGAUUCCCUACAUGAUUUAAGGUACCUAGGAUCUGUAGGACUCCCUCGUUGUCUACUCAAACACAACCUAGAACAUCUCGUUACAUGAAAAGUUUUCGUUGCUUAUUACGUAGACCAAUACUGUAGUUCCCUACUUCGCCACCAUAGCGUUACAUAUCUUAACUUACUCCUCGACGUCUUCCAAGAACAUGCCGUGCUAUGUGAUGAAAGUCAAGUGGGUUGAUGCUGCUGUCACGGUAGAUUAGAGUUCCUCCUGCUCCUCCUUCUUCUACGACUUUCAGAUAUGGCCUCUGACGCCUUCCCCUUCCGAAAUAGCGUUCUGGUGUAUCUGCUCAGGCACGGUAGCAAAGCUAGAUAUGGGCUCCUCUUCUACGCGGCGCGCGAGUGGUAAGUCGGCGGAGAGGGACUGUCCUUUGGGUGACGUGACUUGUAGGCGAGUGGUCUGGUGGGCCUCCGCUCCGGACUGGGACGACAGAACUAAGGUGGCGGUGGGCGGUUCGUGCGACUCUCCCUCUCCAAGAAGGCACUCUUCUCGUACCUGCCGCCACAGUUGGACGGACCGGUGGAGUCCCCGGAAAGUAACGUCUCGUCGGCCCUGCCGUCGUCGAGCACGUCGCCGUCGUGCCUAAUGCCGCUGACUCCCCCGUCCGUCACUAACCAUAUAUGUCAAGUAAAAAAACGAGAAAUAAUUAUACCUACUAGGAGAACUACGAACGGACCGCCCUCUCUAUGUUACUAGACAAGCCUCUCCCCCUCCGGCGGAACCGGAGCCGGAAGGAUCAAGGAUGACUGUGGGGACAUGUGUCUGAACCAACCGAACUAUUAAGAAAAGGUCAAAGAACGAACAGGAGUCGACUGACUGUAACAACAUCUGUUAACCAGCCACAACACGACAGUCAAUCAGUGAAUAGUCAUAAUAUCAAUUAGACAAAAUCCGCUCUCUAUGAAAGUACCCAUUGUUCACCUCAAUCCCUCACUAGGUGGU
rnacentral:rRNA from 1 species